UGAGGAAUAUUGGGCAAUGCCCGAAAGGGUGACCCAGCAACGACGCGUGGAGGAUGAAGGUCGUAAGAUUGUAAACUCCUGUUAGAGGGGAAGAAUAACUAAGUUUGGAGCUUAGUAUGACUGUACCCUCAGAGAAAGCCCCGGCUAACUACGUGCCAGCAGCCGCGGUAAUACGUAGGGGGCAAGCGUUGUCCGGAUUUACUGGGUGUAAAGGGCGCGCAGGCGGAAUGGAAAGUCAGUGGUGAAAUCCUACAGCUUAACUGUAGAAUUGCCUUUGAUACUUUCAUUCUUGAGUUCGGGAGAGAGAGACGGAAUUCCAGGUGUAGUGGUGAAAUACGUAGAUAUCUGGAAGAACACCAGUUGCGAAGGAGGUCUCUUGGUCCGAUACUGACGCUGAGGCGCGAAAGCGUGGGGAGCAAACA
rnacentral:rRNA from 1 species